CACUCUAACCUGCUCCAGUGGGAGUUCAGACACAUACUGGUACGCUGAGAUCCACAGUCAGCUCACAGCAUAUAUCGGUCACAGUAUUUCUCUGACAGGCUCUUCCUACAACUCUCCUGAUUUUGAGACCAAGUUUUCAAUCCUGGGAAACAGCCUGAUGAUUAAGAACCUGACAGCAGAGGACUGCAGGCUUUACUACUGUGGCAUCAGGAGAGACGGCAGCAUUCAAUUUGUGGAAGCUUUCCGCCUCGUCUCAGAGAUCUCUCCAUCCUCUGAGCCAGAGCAUCAUCUCCUCGUCAUAUACCGCUCAGCCUUCAUCAUUACUGUCUCCAUCCUCCUCAUCCUGGUUGUGGGGUUUUCAUCUCUGUGGCUGAAGAGGAAACAUCAGAGAGCAGGUGGACGACAAUCCAGCUCUGACCAAUGAGAGCGCAGAGACUCUGCAGAGCUCACAGGAUGAGUCCAUCCACUCCACCCCUUCAUGUCACUGAAGUAAAGAAGCAUCACCUCAUCAUUAGUUUACCAGUUCAUAACUAGCUGAUCAUUUCUAAAUGAAUAAUAUCCAAAUUACCUAAAAGUGCAUUUUUCUGUCCUCUGUGGAGAGAAUAGGUUUGUUAUGAACUGAGACAAACUCCAGUCUCACUAUAUAUUCUGUAUAAUCACAAUAAAGUCAUUCUAUUAUAUUCUAAAACAAAACAGGUCAAUUAAAAUCUACCACAGACCAGGAACACACGAGGAGACAAACAGGAAGACAACAAAG